GCGGUAAAUGCUAACUUGGGAAGUCGUAGAAAUGGAGAUUGACCAAUAGAGGGAGCCCGAGAGCGCCAGGCCGACGACCACCACCAGGCCAAGUUUCAGGAGAAGAUGGAUUACGCUUUGCCGGCUUCGGACAGCCCCGAUUGGGCUCGGGAGCUCCUGCCCGAACCCAUUCUCGGCGAAAUCCUUCCCUUUGGAAAUCUG
rnacentral:misc_RNA from 1 species